rnacentral:ribozyme from 13 species
AAAAAAGAAUUAUCAAUCAAAUAUAUAUCAGAAGCCUUGGCCAGUACGACAUUGUUACUACUACUACUACUGUCGUCUAUUUUCUUCUUUUCUUCUUCUUCUCCGUUUUCGUCAUCUUGUGGUUGUUGAUAGGCAAGUAAGAAGCUUGUUUGGAGCGUCUGUCGUGUCAUCAUGGCAUGCGGAGGAUGAGCCGCAAUUCGACGUAGAAGAGUUUUGUAUCCAUCUUCGCCGAGAAUAGAUAAAACAGAAUAAGGAUUUUGUAACAAUCGGC